AUGGUUGUCAAGAGAAGCACAAAAAGCAUCCCAUUAGAACGGCUUCAGUCUUUUCUCUCUCUGAUUUCCUCUCCAGGUUCUCCCAACAGGACGAUAAACUCAUCUGGAAGGCAGAGGGCCUGCCCAUUCAUAAACCUGUUGAUGUGGUCCCCAGAGUACCAGUUUAAGAUGGCAAGACCAACACUGUUGAUUCUGGGGCCAGAACUGGGACAAGUCCUUGAUUUGUCUACACUAGCUGUAUACACCAUCUACCUCCUGAGAGGAUUCAUUUUUCUUCCUAUGCUCCAGGAUCUUUCAAGCCAUGGAGGAAUAUAGCCAGCCCAACACAGUUCAGAACCGCCUUCCUAUGUGAAAGCUGACAGUUUACAGGAGGGAGAGUCCUUGAAGGAUUGAAUGCAGCCUCUCUUGUGAGGUAUGUGGUCUCUUGGACUUCAUUGUGCUGGCAUCUCAUCAAGAAGAGAUGGUUACACAAACUCAUCUGCCGCUGGGGUCUCUGUGAUGGAGACUAAGGUGGAAUUAAAUCUUUCUGGCCACUCUAGGAGAGGCAAUCUGUGGAAAAGGCUGCCCAACCUCCCCCUCUCCUCUCCAGCUAAUCUCCCCAACCUACUUCUCUUUUACUAAGUAACUAUUCUCUUCUGUACAUGAACUCGUGGGUUAUCUACAAGCUUGUUUUCUAUUGUCAUUGUUGUUUGCCUUUGCUUUGUUCUGAUUUUAAUGAGGUCAAGUGAUGGAACUGGUGGGGAAAGUUAAGUCAUGUGCUUGAGUGACAGGGAUUAAGGUGGCUGUCUACAAGCAUGGCUUAUUUGUAAUUCUGCACCUUUUUUUUUUUUUUUUCCGCUUUUGGUUACCCUGCAGCAUAUGGAGUUACCCGGCCAGGGAUCAGAUCCAAGCCGAGGUCAUGACCUCAGCUGCAGCUGCAGCAAUGCCAGAUCCUUAACCCACUGUACCCGGCUGAGGAUCGAACCUGUGACCCAGGUCUCCCAAGACGCUGCCAAUCCUGUUGUGCCACAGCGGGAACUCCAAAAUUUGCAGUUUUAAAAAGACCAUUUCCAACUCCCAAACAUUAAGUUAGAUUUCAACUCAUAUCCCCCAAUAUUUUGUUUAUCUCAGGUUAAAAGUAAGGUGUAGUCUGGCUCAAAGUCUGCGUGACCUUACUUUAAUUAUUGUUGCAAGAUGCCAGACCAAGUUUAGAACAGAAGGAAGUCUAGAGAAAGAACACUUCUUAGUUAAGAUUUGACUUCUCCCAUCCCCUGCUAUAAAUAAUAAACUAAAGGGAGUUUCCA
rnacentral:lncRNA from 1 species